rnacentral:lncRNA from 1 species
GUGAACUUUUCUUCAACUUUCCCUUGGGCUUGCGAAUAUCAUUGUAUGAUUGUCAUGAUUUUAGUUGUUAUAUGCUGAUCUGAUAAUUAUAUGAUAUUGCAUAGGUAAUCAUUAUUUUAUCUUAGUUAAAUUGUGAUCCAUGACAAUUAUAUGCAUAUUUGUUUCAUGAUUGACUUUGAUAGAAUAAUAGAAGCAUGAUUAAUUCAUUUUUGAAAUAUUUAAUUGGUAUCU